rnacentral:rRNA from 1 species
CUUCGGGGACAUUGGUGACAGGUGGUGCAUGGUUGUCGUCAGCUCGUGUCGUGAGAUGUUGGGUUAAGUCCCGCAACGAGCGCAACCCUUGUCUUUAGUUGCCAUCAUUAAGUUGGGCACUCUAGAGAGACUGCCAGGGAUAACCUGGAGGAAGGUGGGGAUGACGUCAAAUCAUCAUGCCCCUUAUGCUUAGGGCUACACACGUGCUACAAUGGGUAGUACAGAGGGUUGCCAAGCCGUAAGGUGGAGCUAAUCCCUUAAAGCUACUCUCAGUUCGGAUUGUAGGCUGAAACUCGCCUACAUGAAGCUGGAGUUACUAGUAAUCGCAGAUCAGAAUGCUGCGGUGAAUGCGUUCCCGGGUCUUGUACACACCGCCCGUCACACCACGGGAGUUGGAGACGCCCGAAGCCGAUUAUCUAACCUUUUGGAAGAAGUCGUCGAAGGUGGAAUCAAUAACUGGGGUGAAGUCGUAACAAGGUAGCCGUAUCGGAAGGUGCGGCUGGAUC